rnacentral:rRNA from 1 species
UACGUAGGGGGCGAGCGUUGUCCGAAGUUACUGGGCGUAAAGCGUGCGCAGGCGGUUUUGUAAGUCUGUCGUGAAAUCCCCGGGCUUAACCUGGGAAUGGCGAUGGAGACUGCAAGGCUAGAGUUUGGCAGAGGGGGGUAGAAUUCCACGUGUAGCAGUGAAAUGCGUAGAGAUGUGGAGGAACACCGAUGGCGAAGGCAGCCCCCUGGGUCAAAACUGACGCUCAUGCACGAAAGCGUGGGGAGCAAACAGG